rnacentral:rRNA from 1 species
UGGGGAAUAUUGGACAAUGGGCGCAAGCCUGAUCCAGCAAUGCCGCGUGAGUGAUGAAGGCCUUAGGGUUGUAAAGCUCUUUUACCCGGGAUGAUNAUGACAGUACCGGGAGAAUAAGCCCCGGCUAACUCCGUG